rnacentral:rRNA from 1 species
GAGUUUGAUCCUGGCUCAGGAUGAACGCUGGCGGCGUGCCUAAUACAUGCAAGUCGAACGGGAAACCUUAUACUUGUAUAGGGUGGAUAGUGGCGAAUGGGUGAGUAACACGUGGGUGACCUGCCCUGAAGAGGGGGAUAACUGUGGGAAACUGCGGCUAAUACCCCAUAUGCUUACGCUCUUUAGAAAGGUGUAAGUAAAGCUUUUGCGCUUCGGGAGGGGCCUGCGGCCUAUCAGCUAGUUGGUGGGGUAAAAGCCUACCAAGGCGAAGACGGGUAGGGGGCGUGAGAGCGUGACCCCCCACAAUGGAACUGAGAUACGGUCCAUACUCCUACGGGAGGCAGCAGUAAGGGAUAUUGCACAAUGGGCGAAAGCCUGAUGCAGCAACGCCGCGUGAGUGAUGAAGGCCUUCGGGUUGUAAAGCUCUUUUCUGAGGGACGAGCAAGGACGGUACCUCAGGAAUAAGUCCCGGCUAACUACGUGCCAGCAGCCGCGGUAAAACGUAGGGGGCGAGCGUUAUCCGGAUUUACUGGGCGUAAAGCGCGCGCAGGCGGUUUGGUAGGUUGGACGUUAAAGCUCUUGGCUUAACUAAGAGAGGUCGUUCAAAACCACCAGACUUGAGGUCGGUAGAGGGGAGUGGAAUUCCCGGUGUAGUGGUGGAAUGCGCAGAUAUCGGGAGGAACACCUGUGGCGAAAGCGGCUCCCUGGACCGCACCUGACGCUCAUGCGCGAAAGCGUGGGGAGCGAACGGGAUUAGAUACCCCGGUAGUCCACGCUGUAAACGAUGGAUGCUAGGUGUGGGUGGUAUUUACCCAUCUGUGCCGAAGCCAACGCGUUAAGCAUCCCGCCUGGGGACUACGGCCGCAAGGGUAAAACUCAAAGGAAUUGACGGAUCUUUCUAG